UUUCCGUAGGUGAACCUGCGGAAGGAUCAUUAGCGAAGCUCGGAAUGCCAGUCCGGUACUGCAGCUGCCCAGCAAUGGGAUGUGCUCGUCUGGGCUGGUGUCCCUUCUCUAUUCCACCCCAUUGUGAACCAAGCGUGCGAGCAGAAGAGAGAUCGGAAGCUCGAAUGCUCACUUCAACAUACCCCUGAUUAAGUAUCUGAAUGUACCUUGCGUUAACUCGCACAAAUACAACUUUCAACAACGGAUCUCUUGGUUCGGGCAUCGAUGAAGAACGCAGC
rnacentral:misc_RNA from 1 species